GACGAACGCUGGCGGCGUGCUUAACACAUGCAAGUCGAACAGAAAGGCCCUGCUUUUGUGGGGUGCUCGAGUGGCGAACGGGUGAGUAACACGUGAGUAACCUGCCCUUGACUUUGGGAUAACUUCAGGAAACUGGGGCUAAUACCGGAUAGGAGCUCCUGCUGCAUGGUGGGGGUUGGAAAGUUUCGGCGGUUGGGGAUGGACUCGCGGCUUAUCAGCUUGUUGGUGGGGUAGUGGCUUACCAAGGCUUUGACGGGUAGCCGGCCUGAGAGGGUGACCGGCCACAUUGGGACUGAGAUACGACCCAGACUCCUACGGGAGGCAGCAGUGGGGAAUAUUGCACAAUGGGCGGAAGCCUGAUGCAGCAACGCCGCGUGCGGGAUGACGGCCUUCGGGUUGUAAACCGCUUUCGCCUGUGACGAAGCGUGAGUGACGGUAAUGGGUAAAGAAGCACCGGCUAACUACGUG
rnacentral:rRNA from 1 species